rnacentral:lncRNA from 1 species
CUCACUCUUCUAACCCCCACCAGUUUAGCUCCACUGGAAAGGCCACCAGAGCAGGCUCGGUGGGUCCUGCAGACCUGCAGUGCAGAUAGGAUAAUCGACGGGCAUGGUGGCACACACUUUUGGUACCAGCACUCUGGAGGCUGAGUCUCUAUAAAUGCUCAUAUUCGUAAGCAGGGAGGGGCCCCAACUCAAGACAGCGUACAGAAGUUGCAGUGGUUAACAUAGAAAUCGAAACUAUGUAAAGUGCAGAGUGUCAGGGGAGUGAGUGCCCGGGCACCAAUUGGUUCUCUCUAUGGCACACACUCCCACAAGGCUUCCAGAACACAGCACACAGUGGAAGAGGGGAGGGAAAGAUUGAUUGUAAGCCAGAUGUGGGUGUGUGACCGGAGUGACACUGUCUUCCAGAUAUGGGAUACGGUAGAAUCACCGUGCUCACAAGCUCACAGUGCCCCAUAGUUGCCUUCACAAGACCUGUACAAGACCCAGCCUGUCAAUAAUUCCUGUAUGGAAUUUAAGGCAUUCAUGAGCCCCCGCCCCUAACUGAGGAGCUGUAGACAGUUAAUAGCUUAUGAGAGAAGGGGUGGAAAGAGUUUUCUUUAAGGGUGUGGUUUCCCAGUUGGUUGACCAUGCUCCAGUGGAUAGUCCCAUACCCAGAUGAAUGUGGGCAGCACAAAUUAUUUAAAAACCAGGAAGACAGGGAGUAUAUGGAUUAAUCUGAGAGGGGGUAGGGAGAAGAGUGGAGAGUGGGUAUGACCAAAAUAUUCUGUAUGAAACUGUCAAGGAAUUAAUUAUAUAUCUAUAUCCCUGUAUAAAGGAUUCUUUAUCUAUAUCCAUAUCCAUGUCCAUAUCUAUAUAAAGGAAUAGUCCAGGCUGAGGAGGUGGCUCUGUGCUUAAGCUUGCACUGCAGUCGCCCCAGGCAGUUCACAAUUGCCUGUGACUUCAGCUACAGAGGAUUUGACAUCUUCUUCUGCUCUCUCUGUGGGCACUUACAUGCAUGCACACACACAUAGAUACACAUAUAUGUACUCAUUUUAAAAAAAAAACUUUAAAAGGAAUAAUCUGAAUUAAGCGGUAAGCCUUGAGAAGGUAAGGGCCACCACGUUCACUUGAUCCCAGACAUCUCAAUAACAUGAUCAAUCAAAAGAUGUUUAAUAGACGACUAUCAAAAUGUGAUGUCAGGGUGUGUGUGUGUGUGUGUGAGUGUGUGUGUGUAUGUAACCAGAGUACAUUAUAUACAUAUAUGAAAUUGUCUGAGCAGGAAGUUAGUUAAUAGACCUUAUAAAAAAUGAGACUUCAUUGAUGAGAAACAAGAAGUACUUGAAGAAUAUUUUGUAUGGAAAAAUUGUAAGCAUAACCAAGUGCAAUGAACUUGCUUCAAGGUCACACAUCUCCGAUAAUUGUUAAUGCACAGCUAAUCUGUGUCACCUCCUCCUUACCUGCCCCACCCCCAUGACUCUGAAGUAGUCAUUGCAUCUGUACAUAUUUCCACAAGCAUCUCCAAUAUGAAAAUCUAUGGGCCCACAAGAUAGCUCGGCAGGUAUCAGGGCUUGCUGUCAAGCCUGAAGACCUGAGUUCGAUCCUCAGGAUCCACCUUAGGACUCUAUUAGAACGUUUUAGUGCAUAUUUAUACUGGAACCCAGAGAGAGCUCGCACAUUGUGAUUCCUCAAGACACAGGUCACCCUCUCAUUCCCUUUAAACUUGCUUGAUUUUUGUUUCCUAAGCAACCGUCUGGAUUUUCCUGAUACAGUGUGCUGUUGAGCAGGCUUUUCUGUUGCGUGUGUCCAAUAAACGAGUAGUUUUGUCUUUGGUC